rnacentral:ncRNA from 2 species
AGGAAUCUUCAGGGCAGGGUGAAAUUCCCGACCGGCGGUGACAGUCCGCGAAGGCCAUAGGGCCUUGAUCUGGUGUAAUUCCAGAACCGACAGUAAAGUCUGGAUGGGAGAAGGAGAUU